rnacentral:rRNA from 1 species
AUACGGAGGGUGCAAGCGUUAAUCGGAAUUACUGGGCGUAAAGCGCGCGUAGGCGGAUUGGUAAGUUGGGUGUGAAAGCCCCGGGCUCAACCUGGGAAUUGCAUUCAAUACUGCCUGACUAGAGUAUGGUAGAGGGAAGCGGAAUUCCGGGUGUAGCGGUGAAAUGCGUAGAGAUCCGGAGGAACACCAGUGGCGAAGGCGGCUUCCUGGACCAAUACUGACGCUGAGGUGCGAAAGCGUGGGGAGCAAACAGGAUUAGAUACCCCGGUAGUCC